UUAUUCUCCUUCAUGAAACCUACAAAAAUAUAUACCAUAAUUUUUAUUUUUGAGAUUAUUUUUUUAUGUCAUCUGUAUUUCUUUUAAAACAGAAUGUGAUUGGGCACUAUAUUUCCAUUCACAAGCCUUGCUGAGUUACAAGACUAGGGAAUCUCAGAGUUUUGUUCUCAGUACUUUGAAAACAAGCUACAUGGGGAAUUCCUCAGGGGUUUUAGCGUGAGUGUUUACUUUUAAGACUAGUACAUGCAGAAUUAACUACAGGGGAUGAAAAUUCUUAAGAUGAAACUUAAGCCAUCUUAAUUUUUUUCCUUUUAAACAUGAAGCUAUCUUAGAACACUUCCAAGUGACAAAUUAUUUGGUCUACUAAGGAAUCCAGCUCAACAGCUAUAAACACUUCAGACCACAAAGUUAAUAGGUUAUAUUAUGUCUUACAACAAAUAUAUCUGAAGAGCACA